rnacentral:rRNA from 1 species
UACAGAGACUGCAAGCGUUAUUCGGAUUCACUGGGCGUAAAGGGUGCGUAGGUGGCAAGGUGUGUUAGGCGUGAAAUCUCGAGGCUCAACCUCGAAACUGCACCUAAAACUACCUAGCUAGAGAUCUGGAGAGGAUAGCGGAAUUCACGGUGUAGCAGUGAAAUGCGUAGAUAUCGUGAGGAACACCAAUGGCGAAGGCAGCUAUCUGGACAGAAUCUGACACUCAAGCACGAAAGCGUGGGGAGCAAAAGGG